CGCUAGGUGCUGGCUCCUCUUGGUUUCUGGGGGCCUUGAUGACAGUUGUGCAGUGUCGGCAGUGUCGGCAUAACGUGAAACGGUUUUCUCGAGUAAUUGCUUGAUAUAUGGUCAUGCUUGAUUCAAUGAGGUUUGAUGUUUCUCCUAUGGAGGUUGCGGAGCAACCGAAGUUUUGCGGUUCAACUUUCUAGAGCUCGUUGCCUCAAGUGCUCCCACGACAGUUUAGCAGCCUGAUAAGCCCAAAACAACAAUUGUUUAUGUCUCUUGAAGUGGAAUGUCGUCCAAUCUCGUACUGGGGGCUGCAGCGAGUGACAACUCCCAGGACGCCAGCGAGGUUUCGCAGGCAUCUGAUAUGCACCUGUCCCUGUCCUGGUGUGCCGCCUUAUCCGCCAGAGUUCGCACCAAUCCAAGCUUGUCCACAGGCUUCAUCCUGGGCGCCAGGCUGUACUUGGGGCCUUUUUCCAAGAUACGGGUGACAUCCGGCGGUGCAGAAGCAUCUCCCAGAAAGGUGACACAGUCCGGCGAAUCACAUCUUCUCUUCUUUUUCGGCAG